rnacentral:rRNA from 1 species
UGAGGAAUAUUGGUCAAUGGACGCAAGUCUGAACCAGCCAUGCCGCGUGAAGGAUGAAGGCCUUCUGGGUUGUAAACUUCUUUUAUCUGGGAAGAAACCUCAGUUUUCUAACUGAGCCGACGGUACCAGAGGAAUAAGCACCGGCUAACUCCGUGCCAGCAGCCGCGGUAAUACGGAGGGUGCAAGCGUUAUCCGGAUUUACUGGGUUUAAAGGGUGUGUAGGCGGGCGUUUAAGUCAGUGGUGAAAUCUCCGAGCUUAACUCGGAAACUGCCAUUGAUACUAUUCGUCUUGAAUAUCGUUGAGGUAGGCGGAAUAUGUCAUGUAGCGGUGAAAUGCAUAGAUAUGACAUAGAACACCAAUUGCGAAGGCAGCUUACUAAACGAUCAUUGACGCUGAGGCACGAAAGCGUGGGGAUCAAACAGG